rnacentral:lncRNA from 1 species
AUGAAACAUCGACCAAAGAACCUGUCCCUGCCUGAGAUUGAGAAGCAUCUCAAACAUAAGAUUGAAGGCAACCUGAGAACCGUGCUGAGAGCGUUCCGUCUGUUCGACCACAACCGGGAAGGACACAUUGAGCAGCACGAGUUCCGGCGCAUCCUGGACAACUACUGCGUCCAGCUGACAAAUAAAGAGUUUCAAAGGUGGGGUAGAGUGACGCGUGUUCAGCCCUCUGGUAUACCAGGGCUAAUCUUUUGAUUAUGUUUGGCCAUGCUUUUUCUGUUGCUGUUUGUGACAUCACUUUCUGUCUGUAUUUGACUCAUCACGUGUCUCCAUAACCUGUCUUCAGUGACAGUGUGGCAGGUCUGUCUUGUCUGAAUGUGUUCCGUCUGCUUCUCUGUCUUUCUUUCUAAGGGAUGGAUUUUGAGUUUAUUAAUAUUACUCCUUGUCCAUGUCUGUUAUUGGUUUGUUAGAUUGUAUUUUGUCGUCAGUGAGUUUGUUUACCCUGAUUAAGCAGCAAUUCUCAGUUUAUGCCUUAAUGUUCCAUGUGUUAACUUCAGGUCAGUUUCUUCUGCCUUACCCAAUAAUUUAUAUCCUUUUGGUUUCUCUAUUUUAUUUCACUACGUUUUUGUUCUUGUACGCAUAAAUUAACUAAUUUAUUAUGCUUAUCCAUUGUGUGUGUCUGCUGGUCAUGCUUUUUAGGGUUUCCUCCCUUUUGUCUGCUGUACUGGCCUCAGCCUGUCCAUAGAGCAGCCUAGUGUAAUAUAGUAAAGAUUACAUGUAAAUACUUGCCCUUUAAGGUCUUGCCGUGACUCAGUCAGUCUAUCAGCCCCUUAUAAGACCAGGUCCAGUAAGACUUACUAGCCUAUACUUCCCACUUUUAAGACUUAGUUGGUCUGUCAGCUUUAGUGGCCGAUCAGUGUUAGUGCAGCGAUUUGUAACACAACAGGUCACACCAAAACAGAACCAAACAUUGUAGGGCAUAUUGAUUUCCAAUAUGCCCUACAAGAGAGAGAGAGAGAGAGAGAGAGAGAGAGAGAGAGAGAGAAAUAGCUAAUUGACUUUUAAAACUUUGGGCCCUGCAGUCAAAUCCACU